GAAGAGAUGCUGUAUGUAUUCUGCGACGCGCUCUGCCUAGAGUGUCUCCUUAUUCAUUAAAUGAGUGGCUCAUUCCAGCUGUGUGAAAAAGCAGGACUGUAAAGUAGAGACUGUUUGCAAGGCCUGGCCCCCAGCAACUGAGAGCUGUGUAACCAGAGGCCUGUCGUCCCUCGGUGUUGCUCAUGCUCCACCUAGAAAGGGUUUUUCAAUCACACGGUCACGGUUUGGGGGUGUUCGUGGUUCUUGCGCAGACAGCAGCACGCCAGGCCUCUCCGUGCUGUGUGCUCGUGUCAUGUCACGUUGUCGUUUCUCUCUCUAAACUUCCCAUUUCUUGGCUUCUCUUUCCUCAGAUGAUGUCGGGGCAGCUCUGGUCUUUCUUACAGCCUGGACUGGCGUCCUGUCCUCCCUUGGGGUUGGCCUGCGUGACCUCUUCAUGCUCCAGAGCCCAGGGGUGACUCUCCCUGGAGAGAGCGCAGAAUGAGACAGCCCUUCCUGCAAAGAACAUAAAGCAGCCUUUUCUGCUCGUACUUCCACGUUGGUGUGAAGUCAGAAACAUAACACAAGACACAACCGAGUCAACACUACACAGAACAAACCUUUAUUUCACUGAGCAUCUCAUCACAUGAUGCUAGUAUCUCUCUACCGUACCCUAAAGACAUGCAGAAGUAACCUAUGCUGUGCUCCCACCUCCUUAGCACAGCUUUCAGCACCAUUUCAGGAUACUUUAUGUUCUGGAAGAGUGAGUGAUAACUGUGCCUGGCCAGAGGACACCCUGCCGGGAUGGAGCCUAACACGAUGCCUUCCCUCUUCAAUAAAAGCCAGGGGGAAGGAGUUGCUGCUGCACAGCAGACUCGUCCUUUGGCGCUUUAAUGCAGCGUGGUUUGGGAAUGGCAGCAGGCGGCCUGGUAGCCCGCACGGCUGCAUUACACACGGGAGUCCAUUGCAUACAUCUUGCCCGUGGCAGUCCUCCCACCGUGGAAGACAGGCCUCUGAGGUCUCCUGGAGGAUCCUUUGUCUGGGAGAGAGAAAAGGUUUUAAACGAGUUAACUGAAAGAAAGCAAUAUUGUACAGAUGUGAAGUCAAGUCUCAUUGUCAUUUAUAACAGGAACCUGCAGGUGAGGGGCCCCGUGCGCGCGCACGUCACGACAAGCUGGACGACCGCUGGUGGAAAGCUGACUUCUGAUGCGGCUGUUGCUUUUAACUAGGCCGUGGCAGCGUGGAGGAGCUGGCUUGAAGCACCUCCGGGGCAGUAAGUUUCCUAAAGUGCUCACCCCUGACCCGGCGCCUCCAAAAACCAGGCUGCCAAGACCCCCCCACUGGUUUUAACCUACAUGGCGCUGCAAGGCCUAGGCUGGAGCUGCCGGAGCAUGGGGUGGAAGGGCCGGGGGGGACC